GCAGGGAGCCGGCCCUGCCUCUCACGCGCGCGGCUCAGGCCUGCUCUCCCCUCGGCGCGCAUCGGGGCGACGCACUCUGCCCUUCUAGCCCGCGCCGGCCGGUGACGCCAUCGGAAGGCGACCGGAAGAGCCGGCGCCGCGUGUCCGUCCGACUAUGGCUCCGCGUCACCUCCGCCUCCUCCCCUCUUCCUGUGUCCCCUCUCCGUAUCCCGUCCCUUUUUCCCUUUUCUGACUGCAAAGUGGGCCUCUUUAACCUGUUUCUGGGCCCCGUGGGGAAGAAUGAGAAGCAGAGUAGGAGGCGAGGGAGCAAGGAGCGAAGGAAGGUCCUCCCUGCAGAUUGUCUGCAAUCAGGCCACACUUUGGUUGGAGCAGGUGCACGGAUGAAUUUGUCUCUUUCAAGUAAACAGGUGUUUAAUAACGGUUUCACAUUUAUAUUUAGUAUGUUGUCAUCACUGCUAAGAGUAGAGACCUCCCUGGCCAGCAAGGGGACCGACCACCCAGGAUGACCCACCUUCCAGGGGCUCGGCCCUGGGUGCCCUGUGGGAGAGCUGGGGCCAGGCAGGCUUCUACUGGGGUCUUGCAAGGAGGGGUUGGGGAGGGUGUGUGCCUGGCCUCUGCCCUCACCUCCCUCUUCUCCCAGCCUGUCUUAGCUAAGUUCCUCCAGCUCAGAGGUUACUGUGUAGGUUUAGCCUCUCCGACUUCUUCCUGUUGUUUAGUCACUCGUUACCUCGUGCACCAAGAGGAAGGCGUCCUGGAGCUGCAUCCUUCCUGCGUGGGCCAUGGGGGCGUGAGUGCGAGGAGUGGCUCUGGCCAUUAGGAGCCCUUGAUAUCAGACUCCUUGAUAUUUACUCCGUGAAGUCCUCAAGGAUGUCCUUCUUUCCAACAUCCUGUUUGCAGCUGGAGAUGUGGGGUCAGUUUGCAAGGAAAAAGAAGUCGUUCAGACGGCUGGUCCCUGGAGAGGCGAUUUACUGCAUAAAUGGCGAAAUCGAAGGAUGAACACUGAUGGUGGCAGUGGUGAAAAGAGGAAACGUGCAGUGUUGCUUCGGAACGUUUACUGUUUUGGAAAACUUGAAUUUUGUCCGCAUGUAUUUUCAAAAUGCCUUUGGAGCUGUCCUUGGAGGAAAAGACAUGAUGCAGAUUUCACCAAAGGUCCGUCUGCUUUGUUGUCCACAUCUUCAGGAAACAGCUCCAUGGAGAAGGGGAACCAUCCCUCAACACACAUGGCCAAGGGAUGGACGUGCAAGCAACCCCCCAGAUCAGGUCAUGGGGGUCCUAGGAGGAGAGCCAGCUCUCAAGGGGCCCUGGGACCUCUCAGCCCAGGCCGGAGGGGAGAAGGGACCUGCCCAGGGUCCCUUGGCAUGGCCUGUUCUGCGUACAAGGGGAGGCGUGCUGCCCCACGGCCACCGGCUGCCUGCAAGAGAGCCAGGCUUCAUGGUCCAGGCUCAGCAUCGGACCUUCCCCUGACCCCCCUUGGGCUUUGUGCGGCCUUUGUUUCUUGAGGCUUGUUUGCUCCUAUGUGAGCCAGUACCGCUGAGACACU